AGUGAACGCUGGCGGUAGGCCUAACACAUGCAAGUCGAACGGCAGCACCGUAAGAGCUUGCUCUUACGGGUGGCGAGUGGCGGACGGGUGAGGAAUACAUCGGAAUCUACUUUUUCGUGGGGGCUAACGUAGGGAAACUUACGCUAAUACCGCAUACGACCUACGGGUGAAAGCAGGGGAUCUUCGGACCUUGCGCGAUUGAAUGAGCCGAUGUCGGAUUAGCUAGUUGGCGGGGUAAAGGCCCACCAAGGCGACGAUCCGUAGCUGGUAUGAGAGGAUGAUCAGCAAACCUGGGGUGGAGACGCGGGGGGGAAUUAGAGGGGAGGGGGCAGUGGGGAAUACCGGAAACCGGGGGAGAGAAAGAAGCCGCUAGGGUUGGUAAGCCAUUUUGGGGGGAAAGAAAAAAAGCUGGUUAAUACCCGAUGAUACUGACGGUACCGAAAGAAUAAGCACCGGCUAACUCCGU
rnacentral:rRNA from 1 species